rnacentral:rRNA from 1 species
GACAGAGGUCUCGAGCGUUAGGCGGAAUCACUGGGCUUAAAGCGUGUGUAGGUGGAUGUCUAAGUACCUUGUGAAAUCCCACGGCUUAACCGUGGAAUUGCUUGGUAUACUGGAUGUCUUGAGCCAGGCUAGGGGCAACCGGAACAAAUGGUGAGCGGUGAAAUGCGUAGAUAUCAUUUGGAACGCCAAUGGUGAAAAACAGGUUGCUGGGGCUGUGCUGACACUGAGACACGAAAGCCAGGGGAGCAAACGGGG